GACAGAGGUGCCGAGCGUUAGGCGGAAUCACUGGGCUUAAAGCGUGUGUAGGCGGAUCGUUAAGUACCUUGUGAAAUCCCACGGCUCAACCGUGGAACUGCUGGGUAUACUGGCGGUCUUGAGCCACCUAGGGGCGAGCGGAACAAGCGGUGGAGCGGUGAAAUGCGUAGAUAUCGCUUGGAACGCCAACGGUGAAAACAGCUCGCUGGGGGUGUGCUGACGCUGAGACACGAAAGCCAGGGGAGCAAACAGG
rnacentral:rRNA from 1 species